rnacentral:tRNA from 1 species
GUGGCUGUGUCAGAAUUAUAUGAGUUAGCUUUAAGCGUUAAUUAUGGGCUUUAGCCCCAGUCACU